rnacentral:rRNA from 1 species
UGACCCCAUGCCGAACUCAGAAGUGAAACGCCGUAGCGCCGAUGGUAGUGUGGGGUCUCCCCAUGCGAGAGUAGGGAACUGCCUGGCA